rnacentral:rRNA from 1 species
GACGAACGCUGGCGGCGUGCUUAACACAUGCAAGUCGAACGAAGUGGCGAACGGGUGAGUAAUACGUGGGUAACCUGCCCUCCUUUUUGGGAUAAGCCUUGGAAACGGGGUCUAAUACCGAAUAAAGGGGGAUGGGCUCGCGGCCUAUCAGCUUGUUGGUGGGGUGAUGGCCUACCAAUGCGGUGACGGGUAGCCGGCCUGAGAGGGUGACCGGCCACGUGUGGAAUGAGAGACGGGCCAGACUCCUACGGGAGGCAGCAGUGGGGAAUCUUCCGCAAUGGACGAAAGUCUGACGGAGCAACGCCGCGUGAGGGAUGACGGCCUUCGGGUUGUAAAGCUCGUAACGGACGAAUGCAGUACCGGAAUAGAAAGCCACGGCUAACUACGUGCCAGCAGCCGCGGUAAUAC